CCUACGGGCGGCAGCAGUGGGGAAUAUUGGGCAAUGGGCGCAAGCCUGACCCAGCAACGCCGCGUGAAGGAAGAAGGCUUUCGGGUUGUAAACCUCUUUUGUCGGGGAGCAAAAGCCGGACGUGUCCGGCUGUGAGAGUACCCGAAGAAAAAGCAUCGGCUAACUCCGUGCCAGCAGCCGCGGUAAUACGGAGGAUGCGAGCGUUAUGCGGAUUUAUUGGGUUUAAAGGGUGCGCAGGCGGAUUUUUAAGUCAGCGGUCAAAUCGUGGGGGCCAACCCCAUCCAGCCGUUGAAACUGGGGAUCUAGAGUGUGCGAGAGGUAUGCGGAAUGCGUGGUGUAGCGGUGAAAUGCAUAGAUAUCACGCAGAACCCCGAUUGCGAAGGCGGCAAUCUGGCUGGAAACUGACGCUGAGGUGCGAAAGCGUGGGUAGCAAACAGGAUUAGAUACCCCAGUAGUC
rnacentral:rRNA from 1 species